rnacentral:rRNA from 1 species
UUCGCAAUGCCCGAAAGGGUGACGAAGCGACGCCGCGUGUGGGAAGAAGGCCUUCGGGUUGUAAACCACUGUUGGGAGUUAGGAAGUGUGGAGGUGUUAAUAGCGCUUUCACUUGACUAAAGCUCCAGAGGAAGCCACGGCUAACUCUGUGCCAGCAGCCGCGGUAAUACAGAGGCGGCAAGCGUUGUUCGGAAUUAUUGGGCGUAAAGAGCACGUAGGCGGCUCUGCAAGUCAGCUGUGAAAGCCUUCUGCUUAACGGAAGAACGGCAGUUGAAACUACAGGGCUUGAGUGCGGGAGGGGAGAGUGGAACUUCUGGCGGAGCGGUGAAAUGCGUAGAUAUCAGAAGGAACGCCGGCGGCGAAAGCGGCUCUCUGGUCCGUAACUGACGCUGAGUGUGCGAAAGCUAGGGGAGCAAACGGGAUUAGAUACCCCGGUAGUCCUAGCCGUAGACGAUGGGCACUAAGUAGAGGGGUUUU